UACGGGGGGGGCAAGCGUUGUUCGGAAUUACUGGGCGUAAAGGGCUCGUAGGUGGCCAACUAAGUCAGACGUGAAAUCCCCAGGCUCAACUUGGGAACUGCGUCUGAUACUGGAUGGCUUGAAUUCGGGAGAGGGAUGCAGAAUUCCAGGUGUAGCGGUGAAAUGCGCAGAUAUCAGGAGGAACACCGGUGGCGAAGGCGGGUCUCUGGGCCGAUACUGACGCUGAGGAGCGAAAGCGUGGGGAGCGAACAGG
rnacentral:rRNA from 1 species